CUUCAUCCGCUCCCGCGGCGGCGUCGGUUUGGCCGCAAUCGCGUCCGCGGCAUCCUCGACCUCAGCCAUCAGCCGCCGCGCCACACCUUCAUGGAUCGACUUCUUGGAAUCGAAGAAGCGAUAGAUGUUCGCCGGCGACAUCUUGAGCGUCUUGGCGAUAUCCGCGACCGUGGUCUUGAGAUAGCCGACAUCGCGAAACAGGCGCUCCGCAGUCGCGAGAAUGCACGCCUUCUUUUCGGAAUCGGUAUCGUUGUCGUGAAGCAGAGUCA
rnacentral:misc_RNA from 1 species